CCUACGGGAGGCAGCAGUGAGGAAUAUUGGUCAAUGGGCGCGAGCCUGAACCAGCCAAGUAGCGUGAAGGAUGACUGCCCUACGGGUUGUAAACUUCUUUUAUAAAGGAAUAAAGUGCGGCACGUGUGCCUUUUUGUAUGUACUUUAUGAAAAAGCAUCGGCUAACUCCGUGCCAGCAGCCGCGGUAAUACGGAGGAUGCGAGCGUUAUCCGGUUUUAUUGGGUUUAAGGGGUGCGCAGGCGGAAUGUCAAGUCAGCGGUAAAAUUUCGGGGCUCAACCCCGUCGUGCCGUUGAAACUGGCGUUCUUGAGUGGACGAGCAGUAGGCGGAAUGCGUGGUGUAGCGGUGAAAUGCAUAGAUAUCACACAGAACUCCGAUUGCGAAGGCAGCAUACCGGAGCUCAACUGACGCUCAGGCACGAAAGCGUGGGUAUCGAACAGGAUUAGAUACCCGAGUAGUC
rnacentral:rRNA from 1 species